rnacentral:rRNA from 1 species
GACGAACGCUGGCGGCGUGCUUAACACAUGCAAGUCGAACGGAAAGGCCCCUUUGGGGGUACUCGAGUGGCGCACGGGUGAGUAACACGUGAGUAACCUGCCCUUGACUUCGGGAUAACUUCAGGAAACUGGGGCUAAUACCGGAUAGGAAUCCUUGCUUCAUGGUGGGGGUUGGAAAGCUUCGGCGGUUUUGGAUGGACUCGCGGCUUAUCAGCUUGUUGGUGGGGUAGUGGCUUACCAAGGCUUUGACGGGUAGCCGGCCUGAGAGGGCGACCGGCCACAUUGGGACUGAGAUACGGCCCAGACGCCUACGGGAGGCAGCAGUGGGGAAGAUUGAACAAGGGGCGGAAGCCUGAUGCAGCAACGCCGCGUGCGGGAGGACGGCCUUCGGGUUGUAAACCGCUUUCAGCAGGGGCGAAGCUUGUGGUGACGGUACCUGCAGAAGAAGCACCGGCUAACUACGUG